rnacentral:rRNA from 1 species
UACGGGGGGAGCAAGCGUUGUUCGGAUUUACUGGGCGUAAAGGGCGCGUAGGCGGCGCAACAAGUCACUUGUGAAAUCUCCGGGCUUAACCCGGAGCGGUCAAGUGAUACUGUCGUGCUAGAGUGCGGAAGGGGCAACUGGAAUUCUCGGUGUAGCGGUGAAAUGCGUAGAUAUCGAGAGGAACACCUGCGGCGAAGGCGGGUUGCUGGGCUGACACUGACGCUGAUGCGCGAAAGCUAGGGGAGCAAACGGG